CAAUAGCGUAUAUUAAAGCUGUUGCGGUUAAAAAGCUCGUAGUUGGAUUUCUGUCAAGGACAACUGGUCCGCCCUCCGGGUGAGCACAUAGUUUGGUCUUGGCAUCUUGCUGGAAACUGUUGCUGCGCUUGGUUGUGUGGUGCAGCUUUCAGCACUUUCACUUUGAGGAAAUUGGAGUGUUUCAAGCAGGCACAUGCCUUUGGACACAGUAGCAUGGAAUAAUUAUAUUGGGCUUUUGCUCCAACUUGUUGGUUCCUGGAGCUGAGGUGAGAAUCAAUGGGGAUUGUUGGGGGCAUCCGAAUUUAGCCGUCAGAGGUGAAAUUCUUGGAUCUGCUAAAGACGGACAACUGCGAAAGCGUUUGCCCAGGAUGUUUUCAUUGA
rnacentral:rRNA from 1 species